rnacentral:misc_RNA from 1 species
UUUUCUCCAAAAUUUAAGAAUUACUAAAACAAUCUCUUUGAUGAAGUAUCUCAAAUCAAAGUAAAUCAACCAGCAAAAGUAAAUAAAAGUUGUAUAAGAGAAAGAUGAAAGCACAACAUAUCAUGCCUGCAUAUAGAAGACAGACACUGAAAAAUUUAAACACACAACAGCAGUAAUUCACAAAGCACUAAAUAGAUAUGUACUUGUUUUCAGGAUCACCAUUCACAAAAUUGACAAACUGAGUUCACUCUGAAAAUAUUGGCAUUCUAUACAUUUUUCCCCCUUCAACAAAUAAGAUCUUUCCUAGA